rnacentral:rRNA from 1 species
CCUACGGGCGGCUGCAGUGAGGAAUAUUGGUCAAUGGGCGUUAGCCUGAACCAGCCAAGUCGCGUGAAGGAUGACUGCCCUAUGGGUUGUAAACUUCUUUUAUAUGGGAAUAAAGUGUACUACGUAUACUGCUUUUCAUGUACCUUAUGAAUAAGGAUCGGCUAACUCCGUGCCAGCCGCCGCGGUAAUACGGAGGGUCCGAGCGUUUUCCGGAUUUAUUGGGUUUAAAGGGAGCGUAGGCGGGUUUUUAAGUCAGUUGUGAAAGUUUGGGGCUCAACCGUAACAUUGCAGUUGAUACUGGCAUCCUUGAGUACAGGAGAGGUAGGCGGAAUGCGUGGUGUAGCGGUGAAAUGCUUAGAUAUCACGAAGAACUCCGAUUGCGAAGGCAGCAUACUGGACUGUAACUGACGCUGAUGCUCGAAAGUGUGGGUAUCAAACAGGAUUAGAUACCCGAGUAGUC